UGAAACACACGGGCAUAGCAAUUCCCCGUCGCAUUCUCAGCAGCCUCGCCGCCGCCGAAAAUGCUCCGCCGCCAGCGCCACUUCCUCCCCGCCAAGCCCCGCCGCCGCCCGAAGCCCCAGCCCAAACCCGCCGCCAAGCCCUCCGCCCCGACGUACACCCGCGACGUCGUCCGGCGCGUGACCAACAUACUCCGCGACCACCCCUGGUCGGCGGCGCGCCCGCUCCUCCUCUCCCUCCCGGACCUCGUCUGGGACUCGCACGUCGUGGCGCGCGUCCUCAAGACCCACCCGCCCCUCCAGAAGGCCUUCCUCUUCUUCCGCCUCGCGGCCUCCCCGGCCGCCGGCCCCACACCCAGGGCCGCCUUCCGCCACGACCGCUACACCUACACCUCCAUGCUCCACCUCCUCGGCGAGGCCGGCCGGGUCCCCGCCAUGCUCCGCCUCCUCGCCGAGAUGCUCCGCGCCGGGGUCGACCCUGACGCCGCCACGUUCACGACCGUCAUGCACUGGCUGGCGCGCGCAGGGGACGUGGACGCCGCAAUGCGGGUGUGGGAAGAGAUGCGCUCCCGCAGGGGGAAGUGCCGCCCCACGCUCGUCAGCUACACGGCGUGCGUCAAGAUCCUGUUCGACGCCGGGAGGGCCGCCGAGGGCAGGCGGGUGUUCGAGGAGAUGGUGGCCGAGGGGCUGCGGCCCAGCUGCACCACCUACACCGUGCUCAUCGAGCAUCUCGCUGACGCAGGAAAAUUCCAAGCUACUCUACAAAUUAUGAGUGACAUGCAAGAUGCAGGCGUAGAACCAGACAAGCCACUCUGCAAUAUUCUAGUCAAGAAGUGUGCCAGCGCUGGUGAGACGUCAGUGAUGACCUUCAUUCUUCAGCACAUGAAGGAGAAAGGCAUUGUUCUCCGUAGGCCUGUCUUUUUGGAAGCACUAGAAGCUCUAAAAGCUAGUGGUGAGAGCCCUAAUCUUCUUUGGGAAGUGAAUCCUCAUCUUGCAUCUGAAGGAAUGGAAUAUGACCCAACAUUUUCUCAUCUAAGCUACAAUACUGACAGAAGUACGAUUAUAUACCUUUUGGCUUCUAGAAACUGGUCUGCUAUCGAACAAAUGGUAAAUGAAUUGACCACGAGGAAUGUGAAGUUUGAGUCGCAUAUACUAUCUGAUAUUAUUCAGGCCAGCUGUGCAAACUGCAGACCAUCAUGUGGACUCACAGUUCUGUACUAUGGUCUAAGAGUAGGCAGUGAACUUGACAGGUCUGCAUAUAGUUGCCUUCUUGGUCAAUACAUCAGAAAUGGUUCGUUUGAUUUGGUAUCUAAGAUUGUUGAAAGAUUAAUUAAGUGUGGCUGCAAUCUUGGAGCAUAUCUGUUAUCUGUCUUAAUACUCAGAUUGGGUUCUGCUGGGCAUUCUUCAUACGCGGCACAUAUCUUUGGGUUAUCACCUGCAGACCAGAAUGUGAUUACCUACACUGCCCUUAUGAAUGCCUAUUUUCAAGCUGGCGAAGUUGAUAAGGCUCUUGAACUAUUCUCUCAAAUGAUAACUAAUGAGAUAUCUGCUUCUGCGGGUACAUAUGAAGUACUGAUAUAUGGCCUGCAAAAGGCUGGGCGGAAACAGGACUCUGACCGUUACCGAAGAGAAAGAAUGGAGAUGCAAUGGCAUCGUCAGUACCGUGACAAGCAUUCCCCUGAAGAUAGCUUAUGUGACCAUUUAUUUUGUGGCUUUCAUGGUUAGAAGAUUGUUUGUUGGGUGAUGUUCCAUACUUGGGCUUUCCUUAGCUCUACCCACCCAGCUUCAUGUUUUGUCACAGAUUGAAGGUGUAUAAAUGGAUCUCCUGAUAUUUGCUUUGACAUGAAGUUAUUAGACACCCAACAUGCGAUUACUUUUCCAUGGCAUGGUAAAAGAAAAUAAAACUGGUUGAUCUCUACGUGGUUGGUGAAACUAAAUCGAGAGUGUCUCAUGAAAGGAUUGCUGAAUUUGGAACCUAGAAUGUAUAAGCUGACUCUUUAUGUUAGUGACGACUGCUGAUGUAAAGGAAGAAAAUCCAUCAGAGCUGAACCGUGGAAGGGUGAAAGCGCAUCAUUGGAGUACUAUGGAGGUCACGAGGCAGCUGGAGGUCUGGAAGUGCAAAGGAGCAACUUAGUUGUUGGAUAGCUUGUUGGAAUUUAAGCAAGAGCUCAAGGAUCCGUAUCUACCUUCUGAAUUAGGUACUGCAAACAAACAGCCAACGAAUUAUUUUUGCAAAUCGUUAACUGCAAGUGACAAGCACGCAGCUGAGAAAGUGUUUCCUCCAUUGGAUUUCACGAUGCAACCUCCAGCACAGGAGUUGUCUGCGAAAGACCUUCAUGGCAAUGAGUAGAAACUCAUUAGAGCUGACGAUGGAGGGGAUGUUGCAUGCUAAGAGAUGAUCACCUGGAGCACCCCAUCUCUUCCAUUUCCUCGUCCCACUGUCAUCCAAGUCGCCUAUUUUAAGCACGCCGGCAGUUUGAGUGGCGGUGAUUAAUUUAGACUUAGAGGUGUGAGAUAGUUAAGCUCGCUUUCGUUAACCGCUCCCUUCUACUACCUCGCAAGACCAUUGGAAAGCAAGAUGAACCGUACAAGCAUUUGCCUUUCCCCAAUGGAAAAAGGAAAGGUGGCAGUUUAGCCACAGCCACAGCUUGAAGCUUAACCACAAUGGAAAAAAAGGGAAGGUAGCAGUUUAGCCACCUCCUUGGCUCGAAGCUUAACCACAAUAUAAAAUCAGCUGGUCAGCAUUAUGUCAUGCGUGAUUCAUUCCAGUCAGGAAGGGUAGCUGCAAUGAAGAUUUCCAGCAAAGGAAAGGCGUUCCCCAUGGGAAACUACAAGCAAGGAAAGGCUUGAAUUCUCUGGACACCCUGACAACAACCACAUUAACUGCGGUGUAUAAACAACAUGUCAUCAGUGAAGAAAAUUUUGGCGAAGUGACCCGCAGAUGCUCAUAUCUGACCUAGAAAUAGCAUCUGUGCCCUGCAUAGUCCAGGGUUUCUAUGAAUUUGGAAGUUGCCACUUAGCAGGUUUCCAUGGGUGAUAGUGAUACAGAGAUAGGCUGAAGAAAAUUGGGAGCGAUGCACCAUGGCAAU